GUUGAGUGGGGGCCAGGAGCCGUGGUAAGUCGGGGGGGUCGAGGGUUUUUCGGAUUCAUUGGGCGUAAAGCGUUGGCAGGUGGUUUGGUAAGUUGGUUGUGAAAGCCUUGGGCUUAACCCAAGAAGUGCAUUCAAAACUGCAGAACUUGAGUAAGGAAGAGGGUCGUGGAAUUCCUGGUGUAGUGGUGAAAUACGUAGAUAUCAGGAGGAACACCGGUGGCGAAGGCGGCGACCUGGUCCUAUACUGACACUCAUACACGAAAGCGUGGGGAUCAAACAGGAUUAGAUACCCGAGUAGUC
rnacentral:rRNA from 1 species